rnacentral:rRNA from 1 species
GACGGAGGUCCCGAGCGUUGUUCGGAAUUAUUGGGCUUAAAGCGCGUGUAGGCGGAGCGGUAAGUACCUUGUGAAAUCCCCGGACUCAAUCCGGGAACUGCUUGGUAUACUGCCGUUCUCGAGGCAGGUAGGGGUCACUGGAACCUUAGGUGGAGCGGUGAAAUGCGUAGAUAUCUAAGGGAACGCCCGUGGCGAAAGCGAGGCCCUGGACGUCUGCUGACGCUGAGACGCGAAAGCUAGGGGAGCGAACGGG